AGACUAUGAUGUGGGCAUUUUUUAAGAAGUUCCUUAAGUCUCUCCCAUGACUCGUGAAUUUGUUUUCUUAGAUGCUGAGCAAAUCCAGUGAUAGCUCACCUCACAGUGU